rnacentral:lncRNA from 1 species
UCAUUCAACAAUGAAGGCCCCCACCGUUCCAAUGCUAAUGAAUGAAGGCCCUCGAGAAUUGCAUUUUCUUCCACCCAAGUUUAAAUGUCAAACGUAUUCCAAUAUCUUUUUACACAUUAUUGUCGAUGUUCUUUAGUAAUGGAAUCCUCCCGUUGCCUUUGGGAGCUUCCUCGAUUGUAUCCAACUUCUAUUUUUGCCAUUUUCUUCCUCUCCCUCUUUUGCUAUCCUCUCUCUUCUCUUCCCGCCUCUCCCACCCUUGCUGGCCCC